rnacentral:lncRNA from 1 species
GGCGGCCCCAGGUCCGGCGUCACUCAGACAAGAGGGCGGGUAGAGGAGGAAGCGGCCAAGUCCACAGUACUGCUCUGGUGCCGCCGAUCACCGCUCACCUCAGCUGACCAGCCCUGUCCUCUACUGGGCCUCGCCUAGAGGAGGGAAAGGCCGCGGCGUCCGCUUCCUCCGCGGCUCAUGGCGACGACGCUUGGCACAUCCGGGACCCUCAGGCCGCUGCGGUCGCGUCGCCGGCUGCUCGGGCCCCAACCCCGGCCGCUGUGGUGACUCCGCCGCGCCUCGCCGUCGCCCCCGUCCCGCCCGCCGCCCCAGCCGCCAGGAACAUGUCUAACCUCGGAGGCCGUAGGAACGGGCCUGUCGAAGUGCGCCUGACAGGAAUCAUAUUGACAGGUCAUGAAAAUGAGACCAAAAGAUCUCUGGAAGCGAUUAAUGAUAAAAUUUCAUGGAGAAGAAGGCCUUGACUACGGAGGGGUUGCCAGGGUGAUGACAACUCCGUGAGGGUGGAGAUUAUACAUCUCUCAUCAUUUCAGCAACAAGGAAAUAAAUUAGUGGCAGAGUAAGGGUGACUUGGUGAGUACAUCCAAUUGUUAACAUAGUUUUGGGUAGGAGAAAUUUUGCUAUUAUAUCAACUUCUUAAAAUGGUCUAGUGGGAUUAACUUUGUUUCAAUUCACAGAGAUCUCUUGGAAGCGAGGAUCCUUUAAAAAUCCUGGAAUAUACACUGCAGUAAAAGAACAAAGCAUACCUCAGCCUUAAACGACUGAAGAAGAAUGUCAAGUGGGGAAGUGGCUUUGGUUUUCAGUUUGUGGGUUCUGAAUCCACACAAAGACAGGAUUGCUUUCUGAAAACCUGAAUUAAUUAUUGUCCUUACCUCAAUAAGACAAAAAAUUAGAAUCAAAAUCGUUAGUAUUACAGUCACAGAUAUCGCCAAGAUGAGUUUGUUGUUAUAGCCAUAUCCUGGAACUUCUUUCGUGAGCUAAAAAAAAAAAAAAAAAAAAAGGAAAGAACAAUUAAAAAAAGAGUGAAAGCUAACUUUUCAAAACCCCAGUAUUCCAGUUGAGUAGCUUACAGGUUCUUUUUUGUUUGUUUGUUUUGAGACAGGGUCUCACUCUGUCACCCAGGCUGGAGUACAGUGGUGUGAUCACAGUUCACUGCAGACUCGACCUCCCUGGGCUCAGGUGAUCCUCCCACCUCAGCCUCUAGAGUAGCUGGAAUUAUAGGCACAAGUCACCACACCCAGCUAAUUUUUGUAUUUUUUGUGAAGAUAGGGUUUCACUAUAUUGGUCAAGCUGGUCUCAAACUCCUCUGACUUCAAGUGAUCUACCCACCUCGGCCUCCCAAAGUGUUGGGUUUACAGGCGUGAGCUACCAUGCCCGGCCUACAGUUCAUCCUGUGCACUAAUCUGUUUCACUCUCUAAAUGAACAAAGUGGGAGAUCACUGUCAUGGCCAAAGUUACAUGGCCAAGACAAACUAUGGCCUGGGAGUCCCAGGUUCUCCUGUGUGGGCACUUUCCUGGCAUAUGCUAAAUGAUGGGAAAGUCUGGGUCUCAUGUUUCUGUGUGGUCCUCACCUCACUCGACUUCUGCUCUUUCUGUUCACUCUGGGCUUCUGUGCUCUCAUUGAUACAGUUCUUAGUUUUCCACUGGUCCGUAUCCCGUUCUGCCUUGGACGCCUUUACUUCCUGCUGCUCACUGAGAAGCUUCAUCAGGAGGCCUGUCCUGGAGAUGAGCUUGGCACAGGUCACUUGCACAUAGGUCUCAGAGCAGUCCGUCUUCAAGGUCCAGAUAACAUGAGAAAUGAAGCUUCUCACAUCGUUGUUGGGGAUGACGGACUGUAGUUGAUGGGUUAGCGGAAUUUUAAACUGAUCACCUGGGGAUGAGAGCAAUGGGUAACUGAAGCUUUUGGGCUCGGGGGACAGGUCAGUGCCCACGUUGUUGUAUUCCCAUUUUGUCUCAGUUUGUUUAACAGUUGGCUCUAAGUUGAAUGCAGUCCUAGUGGGAAUCUGCCUCAGGAAGAUGAUUGUAGUUUGUGUUUUCAGAGAUGGUGCCUUCUGGCAUAGUAGUGUUUUCCAUAAAAACGUUUUCUUUAGAGGCAUUUCUUGCAGUUGUGUUUUUUACAGUAGUGUUUUCUAUAAAACGUUCUGAAGGAGCAAAUACUUCCGGAAAAGGGUUUUCUUGAGGACUCAGGUCUCCUGAGGAUGAAAAAGCCCCUUGUGAAGGGGAAUUUAUGAGGCUCUUCGCUGCAGAGAACGGCGGCCUCUUUGUGAGCAUCAGUCUAUUGAGAUAACUUUUCUUUCUCAAUUUUCUAAUCUUUUUGGCCUUGGGUGUUCUGUGGGCCACACGGGAGUGAGUUUUAUGAAAGUGGUAUUUUUUUUCUGGAAUGUACGACUCGUUUAGCAGCCUUCAUAUUUUUUAACUCCAGCCUUUGCAUUUUCUAAAAUUAAAAUGGUGUAGGCUAAGUCUUUCGAUCUGUCUAUGACCUGAGGUAGGGCUUUUGCAGUUGUGGAAGGCAGAAGGCAUGCCCAUGGAGAAGGGUUUCAGCAAAGAGGAGACUGUUAGCUUCUGCUCUUGGGUGAAUGAAGGCUUGGUGUAGAUGGCGUUUCCCGCUAUGUUCUCGGGCCCCUGCACUAUGUGAGGCUAUUCCAGCUCCCUUGGGGCUGGACUCCCGAGCCUUUUUUCUUUGGCAGCAUUCUCCCCAAAUGCUUGGGCACCCUGUUCCCUCCUGAUACUCUGCUUUCCCACCUCUUUGAAGGGCCUUUUCUGGAUGUUCCUUGGGCCCAUGAGGACUCUGUUCACUCUCUGCAGGUUUUUGCCUACUCUUUGAACCUUUGCCAGGCUGUUUUCCUGUGGUUGGACAGUUUCUAAUUUCUUUUCAAAUAUUUGGCAUUUAAAUUUGUUACCUAGAAGGCUGGACUGCAUAAGCAUGGCAGUUUUUUCUUCCCUUUUAACUUCAUCGAUUUUUUUCUUGUAUUUCUGCAUCUAACAUCUUUUCUAGCAAAUACGCCUUUCUCAAUUUAUUUUCAUAAGUUGAAUUGUUGGAUGCAGGUUGAAACAAGGGGCUCUUUGUAUUGUUUUUCAAAACAGGAGCUUAUCUCCAUCUUGCACAUUUGAAAAAAGCAGUUUAAUGAAUGGUAACAACAUUGAUUCCGCAUCUAGAUUUCCUGCUGAGAAAUAAGGCAAGAUGUAAUUUAGCGCAGUGAUAACAUCACUCUUAUCAUAAGUGUCUAGCUGCUCACUCCCAAAGACUGACAAGUUGAUGCCACUGCUGUCUGAGGCUGCCUCCGGCUCAGUCGUCAGCUCAAUGCUCAUGUGCUUCUUCCGGGCUUGUAACACCUUCAUGAACACUCUUUCUGGAUUCCCUACAGAUGCUUCUUCACCUGUCAAAAAAAAGAGACUGCUUUGAUCAUGAAAGAUAAUGGAACGGCAUGCAUCAGUCCACAGCUGUAUGCCCCAGUCACACAAAGUAGGAGUCAGCAAACAUUAGAGUGCCAUUUAGAGAGGAGAAACACACACCCAAGCCUAAACCUAUGAAAUGGCAACAACAAAAGGAGGAAAAGACAUCUUUUGAAAAUAUGGCUACCUACUUGGAACAUUCCUAGUGUGACAUAGAGUAACUCUGAUUAGGAUUAUUUCGUUGAUCCCCAGGGGCCAAUUGCCCAGUGCUCAGUCAAAGCCCAAGGUGGAAGACAAGUGCUUCCCUGAUGAGCUGAUGAGCUGUCCUCUCUGCAGACUGCUCCGUACCCUGUGCUGUCCUGCCUCAGAUGCAGAGAGAGCACAAGGCUCCCUCCUCAUCCUCAGUGUGCCUGUGUUCUUGCUACCAUCACAGCUGAAUGCAAUGAAAGGCUAUCCUCUGAGAGGAGCAGGGUGGAGAUGCUAAAGUGGAGGCCCCCUCCCAUUGCUGAUAGAUCCUCAUCUGGCAUGCACUCCACCCACCCACCCCAUUCUCUGCUACCACAUAUCGUAGCCCCAUUAAAGAAGACGCGACACGGAAAAAACACUGUGCCCACCCUAGUCCUUUUCUUAAAUUUGGGCAGAGAUCCAGGGUAUAGGUUAAGAGAUUUUUAAUUUGCCAGAUGGUAUGCCUAUGUUGUUAAAUAUACAAUGAAUCUAUGGUAUGAUAGCAGUUUCUGGAUAAACAUUACUUGAGGUCCUAAAAUGCAGAAGGGAAAAAGCAGCUUUUGUCAGAUGCUUACUUUGCUUUCAUUUCAUCUCUAAUAUUUUGGAUGGGGAACCAUCCAAAGCUUCUGGCCACAUGAAGGUCAAGUGUGCCAGUGUGCAGCUGGGUUUCUUUUCCAGAAUUAAAAGUAUUUUGGGUGGUGCUGAGGGUCAGAGGAAGAAGUAAAAGUUGUGAGAAAGGAGAAACAUGGGCUUGGGGAGAACCCAGAAUUGGGGACAGAAGACCUGGCACUAAGCUAUAGCACUUAGCACCUCUGAUCUUGUUUUUCCUCAUCUGUAAAAGGAGAUUAACAAUGCUUUUCUGCCCACCUCUUGGGGAGAAGGGAAUAAUUUAGUUGGUAAAAAAAAAAUGUUUUGAAAAAUAAGCAACUCUGUCUUUAUAUAAGUAGCCAAGCAUUAUUAAUUAUCCACCCCAUAUCACUGGUAGAUACCUGUAUUCAAGCUAUGUGGACAUAAAAGCAGUCACAUUUUAGAAGUCAUGAAGUUGGUGCUAAUAAACCUAAUCUACAGAAAAACUCUUGAAAGCACUUGAGCAUUUGUUCUGUGAAUAGAAAGGUUUGAGAUUCAGAGCAAGUUCAGAGUUGGAUGGUCUAAGAAUGGAAAAGCCCUCCAUUCCAUUAGAAGAGUCAGGGAGCAAUUUCUGGUUAUGGAACCAGAAGCUCUCAGGCUUCAAAUAAAACAGCAUCACUUGUACUCUUAUAAAAUUGUAAAAACAAAAACAAAACUGGAUCUACAUCUGUCCUAAAAGGCAGAGAGUACUUGAGACCUCAUGCAUAUAAAACCAGCUUACAAACUACAUCGCACUAUAUGAAGAAAUUAUCACUGGGGGCAAAGCACCAAGUAGGGAGCACAAUACACAGGGUGUGGAUGUUAAUGUCAUUCCCUAGCCUUCCCAUUCCCUUCUCUUGGUCCUUUAUGCGUAUGGAACAGUUCCAUUAUUAAAUUUUGUAAUAAUAACUGAGAACCUGACUCCCAGCAAGGGAGUAGUUCAGAAGUUGAGGGAGUUUAAAUCUGAAUGAGUAAAU